rnacentral:rRNA from 1 species
CACGUAGGUGGCAAGCGUUAAUCGGAAUUACUGGGCGUAAAGCGCACGCAGGCGGUCUGUCAAGUCGGAUGUGAAAUCCCCGGGCUCAACCUGGGAACUGCAUUCGAAACUGGCAGGCUUGAGUCUCGUAGAGGGGGGUAGAAUUCCAGGUGUAGCGGUGAAAUGCGUAGAGAUCUGGAGGAAUACCGGUGGCGUAGGCGGCCCCCUGGACGAAGACUGACGCUCAGGUGCGAAAGCGUGGGGAGCAAACAGG